rnacentral:rRNA from 1 species
GAAUUGAGGGAAGCUGCUCCUAGUACGAGAGGACCGGAGUGGACGAACCUCUGGUGUUCCGGUUGUGACGCCAGUCGCAUUGCCGGGUAGCUACGUUCGGAAAGGAUAACCGCUGAAAGCAUCUAAGCGGGAAGCCCCUCCCAAGACUAGUUCUCCCCGACCCCUUGAGGGUCCUGAAGAGCCGUCCAAGACUAGGACGUUGAUAGGCUGGGUGUGGAAGCGCUGUGAGGCGUUGAGCUAACCAGUACUAAUUGCUCGUGCGGCUUGACCAU